AUACCGCGUGAGGGAGGAAGGCUCUUGGGUCGUAAACCUCUUUUCUCAGGGAAGAAAAAAAUGACGGUACCUGAGGAAUAAGCAUCGGCUAACUCCGUGCCAGCAGCCGCGGUAAUACGGAGGAUGCAAGCGUUAUCCGGAAUGAUUGGGCGUAAAGCGUCCGCAGGUGGCUGUGUAAGUCUGCUGUUAAAGAAUGAGGCUCAACCUCAUCAGAGCAGUGGAAACUACACGGCUAGAGUGCGUUCGGGGCAGAGGGAAUUCCUGGUGUAGCGGUGAAAUGCGUAGAGAUCAGGAAGAACACCGGUGGCGAAAGCGCUCUGCUAGGCCGCAACUGACACUGAGGGACGAAAGCUAGGGGAGCGAAAGGGAUUAGAUACCCC
rnacentral:rRNA from 1 species